rnacentral:rRNA from 1 species
CCUACGGGGGGCAGCAGUGAGGAAUAUUGGUCAAUGGGCGCGAGCCUGAACCAGCCAAGCAGCGUGAAGGAUGACUGCCCUACGGGUUGUAAACCUCUUUUAUAAAGGAAUAAAGUGAGGCACGUGUGCCUUUUUGUAUGUACUUUAUGAAUAAGGAUCGGCUAACUCCGUGCCAGCAGCCGCGGUAAUACGGAGGAUCCGGGCGUUAUCCGGAUUUAUUGGGUUUAAAGGGUGCGUAGGUGGGUUGUUAAGUCAGUGGUGAAAGUUUGAGGCUUAACCGUAAAAUUGCAAUUGAUACUGGCAGUCUUGAGUAUAGGAGAGGUAGGCGGAAUUCGUGGUGUAGCGGUGAAAUGCGUAGAGAUCACGAAGAACACUGAUUGCGAAGGCAGCUUACUAAAA